GACGAACGCUGGCGGCGUGCUUAACACAUGCAAGUCGAACGGAAAGGCCCUGCUUUUGUGGGGUGCUCGAGUGGCGAACGGGUGAGUAACACGUGAGUAACCUGCCCUUGACUUUGGGAUAACUUCAGGAAACUGGGGCUAAUACCGGAUAGGAGCUCCUGCUGCAUGGUGGGGGUUGGAAAGUUUCGGCGGUUGGGGAUGGACUCGCGGCUUAUCAGCUUGUUGGUGGGGUAGUGGCUUACCAAGGCUUUGACGGGUAGCCGGCCUGAGAGGGUGACCGGCCACAUUGGGACUGAGAUACGGCCCAGAGUCCUACGGGAGGCAGCAGUGGGGAAUAUUGCACAAUGGGCGGAAGCCUGAUGCAGCAACGCCGCGUGCGGGAUGACGGCCUUCGGGUUGGAAACCGCUUUCGCCUGUGACGAAGCGUGAGUGACGGUAAUGGGUAAAGAAGCACCGGCUAACUCCGUG
rnacentral:rRNA from 1 species